CUUGAUUCUAAAAGAGGGGUAUGAAAGAAAAUAACGCUAAGGAUCAAAUGGGGUAAACAAAGGAUGACACAAUGUUUGGAUAGCAGAAUGAAAUGCCUUCAUCAUAUCAAUCCUUGAGAAUGCAAGUAUAUAGCAUGCAAUGUGAAAGUACACGACCAAUAUCACUUAUGACAUGUUUUACAACACUAACUUGCCUCGAACAUGUGUUUCACCUCUUUUUAUAUACUUGUCAAAGAUACAACUCUACCUUUGUUAUGCAUCCCUCACAUCGAGUGAUUCAUGCUUCUGUGGAGCUGAUUAUCUUCUUGUUAACCUUGAUAUAGGGAUCACACGUCCACUAUUCGACCUAAUUGGGACCUGCCUUUCGAUCGAUAUCCAAGUUAUUUUUUGUGAUUCUCAAAAUAAUUGCCUUAACCUAUUACCAAAUGUCUCAGCACUCUAUCUAUUUUCUCAUAUGCUCUUUUUUUCUAACUUUAACCCUCUGAUUCAAAGUUCAUGCUUAAAUUGGAUUUUAAGAUCUGGCUGAAAAUUUCACUGCAUGUCAUAUCACUAGAGUUAACACAAAAUGUACUAUGUA
rnacentral:lncRNA from 1 species